rnacentral:rRNA from 1 species
UACAGAGGGUGCGAGCGUUAAUCGGAAUUACUGGGCGUAAAGGGUGCGUAGGCGGUUUGAUAAGUUAGAUGUGAAAUCCCUGGGCUUAACCUGGGAAUGGCAUUUAAGACUGUGAGACUAGAGUAGAGUAGAGGGAAGUGGAAUUUCCGGUGUAGCGGUGAAAUGCGUAGAUAUCGGAAAGAACAUCAGUGGCGAAGGCGGCUUCCUGGCCUCAUACUGACGCUGAGGCACGAAAGCAUGGGUAGCAAACAGG